CGGGGUGAGUAACGCGUGGGUAACCUGCCUCGUACAGGGGGAUAACAGUUAGAAAUGACUGCUAAUACCGCAUAAGCGCACAGUGCUGCAUGGCACAGUGUGAAAAACUCCGGUGGUAUGAGAUGGACCCGCGUCUGAUUAGCUAGUUGGUGGGGUAACGGCCUACCAAGGCGACGAUCAGUAGCCGGCCUGAGAGGGUGAACGGCCACAUUGGGACUGAGACACGGCCCAA
rnacentral:rRNA from 1 species